rnacentral:lncRNA from 1 species
ACGAAAAGAACUUAGAUUAAAAGAAGAAAUCAGCAUUGAUACCAAGGACUGCUACCUUCCCCGAAAUCCAUGAAAAACAAGAUAGAAAGGCAGGCAUAUGAUGCCAACUUUGAAUUGGAAAAAGAUGCACUGCCAAUUACAUUGUGGGCAGAAUGUCAUAGAUAAUGUUUUCCAAUCUUGAACCCAUUCAUGGUUUUCUGCAAAUCAUUUUGUUUUAAGGAAGAUGAUCGACUCCUCAAGGAUAAGAGUGAACAGCAACGUUAUGCUGCUUCUCUUCUGAACAUGGAAGAUGUGUACUUACUGGGUCCCAUUAAUUCUGUAACAAUAUGUAUAUUUUUUCUGUGACAUAAUAAGAUGCACCACUCAUCCUAACUUAGUUACCUACAUGCUAUAGAGCUACCGCCCCAGCUGCAUAGCAAAUCUCAAGUUGGCUGGCAAGGCAUUCUAUUUGCAAGAAGUCUCUUUCCUUUAGAGGAAGGACUACCAUCCAAUGUUGGAUUUUUGUGUAUUGAGGAGUGCCAGCAGUUGACAUCACUAUCAGGGAUGCAAAAACUUAUUUGUCCUAAAAUAUUAAUUAUAAAAGUUUGUUCUCAACUCCUG